GCACACUGUCCUUCACGUUCUUAUACUUUUAUCGUCCACAAACUAUUUAACAGGCAUCUUAUAGCUGGAAAAAUACAUCUGGAAGCCAGUGACCAAGAACCCAAGCCUGCAACCAAGAAAGGUCUUGGAAACAGUGUCAAAAAGAAUAGUGGACAUAACAUGAAGCAGCUGAGAGCUCUGAGUCACUGUUUACAAAAUGCCCGAUUGAUUCAGCAGCUGCAAGGAAAAGUGAUAAAGCUUAACAAUCAAAGGAAAACAAACAACAACAAAAAAAAAAAAAAAAAAAAAAAAAAAACCACAAAAACAA